rnacentral:pre_miRNA from 1 species
ACGUACGUUACCUGGGGGUCUUGUUAAAAUGCAGAUUCUGACUCAGUAGAUAUGGCUGAAGUGGGCCUGAGAGCCUGCAUUUCUAACCAGCUCCCAGGUGAUGCCCCA